UGGUGGGCAGCAGUGGAGUGGGAAUGCUGCUGGCUGUCAGCUGCUGCUCAGCACCUGCACGACUGGCUGGCCUCAAGGCAAGGGGCCAGAGCAAGAGACAAGCAUAACAGUUGUACUCUACUUAUCUGAAGACAUCAGCUCAGUGAUCUGAAGAGGACAGAGUCAUGAGAGCAGCUCAAAACGCCACCAGUGUCCUGCUACAGAGCCUAACCAGCCAGUUCUGUUUGUGGUGGUUUAACAACCUUCAGUGAUAUUCCCAGAGCUGGGGAACAGAUGUGAAAUCCAGUCCUGGGAACCACAGGGAAGUGGUAUGAUGAAAGAUGAGUACGAGGAUGAGCUAAAAGCAAUUAAUGCCAAAGUAUCACCACUAUAAAAUUUUUUUGUUGAAAAUAUCAAGAAAUCAUUUUUGCUCUCUGGAUUGAG